GAGGCACAUUGAAAGACCUCAUGUAUUUGACACAUUCUGCAUGUCCUUUAAUAGAGAGAUUAAAGCAGCCUAGCCUAUCCCCAGAUAAGGAAUCUGCACCGCAUUGUAAAACCACAGCACCAGGCUUGAAAACUUCCAUCACUUUGCCCAUUAUUGGCUUAAAGAGGGACUGAUAAACCACAGCACCAGGCUUGAAAACUUCCAUAACUUUGCCCAUUAUUGGCUUAAAGAGGGACUGAUAGCUCUCAUCAUCAAUUCCAUCGUCUAGUGGAACAUUAAGAGAGUAGUAUUUUCCCUUUCCAAAUCCAAUAUCACGU
rnacentral:lncRNA from 1 species